UGGGGAAUUUUGCACAAUGGGCGAAAGCCUGAUGCAGCGACGCCGCGUGAGGGAUGACGGCCUUCGGGUUGUAAACCUCUUUCAGUAGGGACGAAGCGCAAGUGACGGUACCUGCAGAAGAAGCACCGGCUAACUACGUGCCAGCAGCCGCGGUAAUCCGUAGGGUGCGAGCGUUGUCCGGAAUUACUGGGCGUAAAGAGCUCGUAUGCGGUUUUUCACGUCGUCUGUGAAAUCCUAGGGCUUAACCCUGGACGUGCAGGCGAUACGGGCUGACUUGAGUACUACAGGGGAGACUGGAAUUUCUGGUGUAGCGGUGGAAUGCACAGAUAUCAGGAAGAACACCGAUGGCGAAGGCAGGUCUAUGGGUAGUAACUGACGCUGAGGAGCGAAAGCAUGGGUAGCGAACAGG
rnacentral:rRNA from 1 species